rnacentral:rRNA from 1 species
AUACGUAGGAUCCGAGCGUUGUCCGGAUUUACUGGGCGUAAAGGGUGCGUAGGCGGUUUGUCAAGUCUUAUGUGAAAUCUCCCGGCUCAACUGGGAGGGGUCAUAGGAAACUGGCAGACUUGAGGGCAGUAGAGGAGAGCGGAAUUCCUGGAGUAGCGGUAAUAUGCGUAGAUACCAGGAGGAACACCAGAGGCGAAAGCGGCUCUCUGGGCUGUACCUGACGCUGAGGCACGAAAGCGUGGGGAGCAAACCGGAUUAGAUACCCCAGUAGUCC